rnacentral:rRNA from 1 species
ACAUGUAGGCAUCUUCCCUUUGGCCUGGAAUAACACGAGGAAACUUGUGCUAAUACUGGAUAAGUCUUUACGGAGAAAGCUUUAUGCACCAUUGGAUGAGCCUGCACUUGAUUAGUUUGUUGGUGGGGUAAAGGCCUACCAAGACUGUGAUCAAUAGCUGAUUUGAGAGGAUGAUCAGCCACAUUGGGACUGAGACACGGCCCAAACUCCUACGGGAGGCAGCAGUGGGGAAUCUUGCACAAUGGAGGAAACUCUGAUGCAGCGAUGCCGCGUGAGUGAAGAAGGCCUUUGGGUUGUAAAGCUCUUUCGUCGGGGAAGAAAAUGACUGUACCCGAAUAAGAAGGUCCGGCUAA